GGAAAAGCGAGGGUGAUGAUACAUGAUAGCAAGCAUGGCGGCCUGUAUUGGAAAGACAUACAUAGUAAGAUCUGGAGAAUUUGUGGACAGUUGAUGGCAUUGCGGUCAACACAUCAAUUAGAAUUGACAGUUACAGAUACUUAUUGAUACAUUUGCAAACUUUAAGAGGUGCUUUGUGGAAAUAAAUCCAAUGCCUGGGUCCAAGACAUAAAAGAUGAUUUUUAUUAUUUGUAAAUGUUGCGAUUUGUAAUACAUUUGUUAUGUUGUAUAUAUGUAUUUGUAAAUUAUUUUGUAUUGCUCAAAUUCUAAAAUAAACAAG